rnacentral:miRNA from 1 species
UUGUUCACAAUACUGAGAGAUGCUAGUGAAGUUGUAGAUGGAUGUUAAUGAAGUUGUGGACAGGAUCUACAGCUUCACUAGCAUCUCUCAGUAUUGUGAACAAC